rnacentral:rRNA from 1 species
CGGGGUGCAGCAGGCGCGAAAACUUUACAAUGCGGGAAACCGUGAUAAGGGGACACCGAGUGCCAGCAUUAUAUGCUGGCUGUCCAGGUGUGUAAAAUACACCUGUCAGCAAGGGCCGGGCAAGACCGGUGCCAGCCGCCGCGGUAACACCGGCGGCCCGAGUGGUGAUCGUGAUUAUUGGGUCUAAAGGGUCCGUAGCCGGUUUGGUCAGUCCUCCGGGAAAUCUGACGGCUCAACCGUUAGGCUUUCGGGGGAUACUGCCAGGCUUGGAACCGGGAGAGGUAAGAGGUACUACAGGGGUAGGAGUGAAAUCUUGUAAUCCCUGUGAGACCACCUGUGGCGAAGGCGUCUUACCAGAACGGGUUCGACGGUGAGGGACGAAAGCUGGGGGCACGAACCGGAUUAGAUACCCGGGUAGUCCCAGCCGUAAACGAUGCUCGCUAGGUGUCAGGCAUGGCGCGACCGUGUCUGGUGCCGCAGGGAAGCCGUGAAGCGAGCCACCUGGGAAGUACGGCCGCAAGGCUGAAACUUAAAGGAAUUGGCGGGG